CCUACGGGAGGCUGCAGUAGGGAAUCUUCCACAAUGGGCGAAAGCCUGAUGGAGCAACGCCGCGUGGGUGAAGAAGGUCUUCGGAUCGUAAAACCCUGUUGUUAGAGAAGAAAGUGCGUGAGAGUAACUGUUCACGUUUCGACGGUAUCUAACCAGAAAGCCACGGCUAACUACGUGCCAGCAGCCGCGGUAAUACGUAGGUGGCAAGCGUUAUCCGGAUUUAUUGGGCGUAAAGGGAACGCAGGCGGUCUUUUAAGUCUGAUGUGAAAGCCUUCGGCUUAACCGGAGUAGUGCAUUGGAAACUGGGAGACGUGAGUGCAGAAGAGGAGAGUGGAACUCCAGGUGUAGCGGUGAAAUGCGUAGAUAUAUGGAAGAACACCAGUGGCGAAAGCGGCUCUCUGGUCUGUAACUGACGCUGAGGUUCGAAAGCGUGGGUAGCAAACAGGAUUAGAUACCCUGGUAGUC
rnacentral:rRNA from 1 species